rnacentral:rRNA from 1 species
GGACCUGACUGCUAUCGGAUUGAUACUAAGCCAUGUGAGUCUUUGUAGCAAUACAAGGCAUACGGCUCAGUAACACGUAGUCAAUCUAACCUAUGGACGGGGAUAACCUCGGGAAACUGAGAAUAAUACCCGAUAGAUCAUUAUGCCUGGAAUGGUUUAUGGUUCAAAUGAUUCGUUCGCCGUAGGAUGGGACUGCGACCUAUCAGUUUGUUGGUGAGGUAAUGGCCCACCAAGACUAUUACAGGUACGGGCUCUGAGAGGAGAAGCCCGGAGAUGGGUACUGAGACACGGACCCAGGCCCUAUGGGGCGCAGCAGGCGAGAAAACUUUGCAAUGUGCGAAAGCACGACAAGGUUAAUCCGAGUGGUUCCUGCUAAAGGAACCUUUUGUUAGUCGUAAAACCACUGAUGAAUAAGGGGUGGGCAAGUUCUGGUGU